UGACCGAUCUGUCUUCCAAGUAGGAACC
rnacentral:sRNA from 1 species